CGUAUAAAGAGUUCCUCGGGGUAAAGUAAGCUAUUUUAAUUUAAUCAAACGGUUCUGAGCUCUAUUUUCUUGGGAAUAGCUUAUCGAAUAAAUGCACAAGAACAUAUUUGGUUUGUCGUUUCGUAGUCAAAACGCCAAUAUCUUGUUUGAUCAUGAUCUUGCACAUACUCUGAAUUAUCAUAACAUUUUAUUAUUUUAUUGGCAUCACGAUAUGUUUCACUAUAGGGGAGCUGUACCUGCUUACCCUUUCAGAGCAGCUGACUUAUCCCCAGCUUUUGUAAGGUUAAUCAGUAUUUGGAGUUCUGUGUUGUGCUUUUUACAUAUAUAUUUUUUUGUUAUUUAAUUUUGGCGGUCUUGCACAAUAUUUUUGUAAUAUUUUUGUUUGUUGAAAAGCAUUAUGUGUUGUUAUAUAGUAUGAAACAUAUAUAAAUUAAAUACGAAUAUUUUAAGUUAUUAUUUUGUUUAUCGUUUGUUCUUGAUAUGUCGGAUUUUGACACUUGAACUUACAUGAAUACAUGAGUUCACUUACCUCAUUUGAUCGGAUUAAAGAUUUAUAAGUAGAG
rnacentral:lncRNA from 1 species